AAAUUGAAGAGUUUGAUCAUGGCUCAGAUUGAACGCUGGCGGCAGGCCUAACACAUGCAAGUCGAACGGUAACAGGAAGCAGCUUGCUGCUUCGCUGACGAGUGGCGGACGGGUGAGUAAUGUCUGGGAAACUGCCUGAUGGAGGGGGAUAACUACUGGAAACGGUAGCUAAUACCGCAUAACGUCGCAAGACCAAAGAGGGGGACCUUCGGGCCUCUUGCCAUCGGAUGUGCCCAGAUGGGAUUAGCUAGUAGGUGGGGUAACGGCUCACCUAGGCGACGAUCCCUAGCUGGUCUGAGAGGAUG
rnacentral:rRNA from 1 species